rnacentral:lncRNA from 1 species
GUGCGCAGUUCAGGCCUACUUGAUGAAGAAAUCAGAGACGCGCGUUGUCAUGGCAUUCGGCAUUUAUGACGUAAUGAUAAAGUAGACAGCAAUGUUCUAUAUCAAUUUAGCGCCAUUCGCGACACCAUCUUUGUCGCUUUCUCCCAAAUUCCCAUUUCUGAUCGGGUUCUAUCAUCUGAGUCGUCUGCGGUCCAAAAUUAUUAUUUUACGUGCGAGUGUUAUAUAAGAUCAGUUAUUUUGGACUACAUCAAAUCUACCAUCAAGGGAAAGUAUGGAGACUCCGGAAAGUGACCAGUUCAAUUCUACUCAGGAAAUGCAGUGUCCAUCAAUUGUGGGCAGGCGAAGUGUGGAGAUGAAAAGUGUCGCGGAGGAGUUCUUCUGUCUCACUGAUGAGACGGACCAAGGGAGGAUGAGUGUGUCAACACGUGGAGCCAGUAUGAGGAGCAGCCACACUCCUGGACACGGCAAACGGAGUGAAUCUGUGCUGCGCAGGGAUGAGUGUACCAGAAACGCAGACAAGGAUGAAAGAUCAGGCCAAGAUACUGUGCGAAGGCUCUGCAGAAGAUCAGGACCUCCUUUCUUGCUGUUCUCCCCUACGGAAAGCCUGGGGGACAUACUGUACAGGAAAACCAAGCAUGUGUUUGACUACACAGUCACGGACAUGAAAGACAAAAAGCCCGAUGUUUCAAGGUGUGGUUCCAAUCUAAACCAGUGUGUUAAACCAGCCCUUCCAGUACGGAAGGGCUUCAAUGUAUCCACAUCUAGGUACAGCCAGAGAAGGGUACAAUCAAUUGAUCAGAUGACGGUGAUCAGAAAAGAUCAUGUCGGUAGGCCUUUACUGAUGCUGAAAGGCAAUGCAAGUCUAACCAACAGUGAUGGAAGCAACAACACGGAUUCAUUUGCUUAUUCAUCCAGACUCACAAAGGGAAAACCAUCAACCUCCUCUCAGCCAGGACCUGUCAUCAGGAUCCCACCAGUAUUAACCAGGAAGCAUUCUGACAUCAUCAGAGAGGAAAGAAAGAGGCACUACUACAAAGACCUGUGUCAGCAGGUGGAGGAGAAGAGACAACAAAAAGCAAGGGAGAGGAGAAGGAUUACCGCCGCCGAACAAACUCACAAUGAGACAAUGCAGUUCUGCACCUGGGGGAUGCCAGGGAGCGGAGCCCCAAACUACCACCUGGACUCUGUGAGAAGGAACAAGUUCAGUUCCACAGAAAUGAUACCCCAGGAACAGCUCCGCUGUAAAGGCUUCAGCGGGAUCCCUUUUCAUCUGCAUGUCAAAUGACGGCCAUUUUAUGGUCCCCCAGCCCAGACGAUUGAUGCUCAGCUCAGACAACUGAUAAACCCAUUAAACUAACGCAGUAGUAGACCAAACACUGCGCUCUGCUGACUUCUGUCCCAUAGGUGGUAGAUAAGUCAUCGAUUAGCUGGAUUUCAGCACUCCUUGGCACUUGUAUCUAUUGAUUAAUUUACUGUUUCAAACUACCAUGCGGGCAUAACCACACUCAAAACAAUUCUGGAACUAAGGUUUUACACAUUCUGAUGGUGUUCAAAUCAGUUGUAAUGGUAGCGAUGCACAUAAACAGUAAGAUAUAUAUAUAUAUAUAUAUAUCAUACACACACAUAAAUGCUACAGUGGUAAUUGACAGAUCGAUAGCAUGGUGAGAUAAUGAAUAGAAACAGUAGCUCACUAAAGAUAAGACUGUACACAAAAAAAAGCUCCUAACUGGUCGCGAAAGUGAUAAGAUACUGUCUGCCUACAGUCAAAGAAUUCUUCUUUUUUUUUUCAUCAUAUUUUAACCAUUUUAUAUGAGUAAUUUUGUAUGUAUAUUGAAGCCAGAGUUGUAGUGAAAUAAAACUCUCCUGUCAGAUUAAGAGACUGGGUGAAAAAAAUUGAUAAAGUCUCAAUGUCAUUGCUUUGUAGGUGAAGUGAUGUGGAAAUCUAUCCUCUGAUACUGACCUGAUAUUUGGGUUGAAUGAUUCACUAAGAAACAAUGGGUAGUGUAACUAUAGUAUUUACAAAAAGCUUUUCAACAUGAGGACCGAUGCACAAACAAGCACUGAUACAGUAAGCCGCUCUUCAGGUGGCCACUAACAUUUGUAUAUACAAUGUACCACAAUGAUGACAUAACAUGCGACUAUAGGUAUUUUC